rnacentral:rRNA from 1 species
GACGAACGCUGGCGGCGUGCCUAACACAUGCAAGUCGAACGGAGAUUUCAGCAAUGGAAUCUUAGUGGCGAACGGGUGAGUAACGCGUAGACAACCUACCUUCUAGAUGGGGACAACACUGCGAAAGUGGUGCUAAUACCGAAUGUUGUAUGUGAAACGCCUGUUUCACAUACUAAAGGUGGCCUCUAUUUAUAAGCUACCACUAGAAGAUGGGUCUGCGUCUGAUUAGCUAGUUGGUGAGGUAAUGGCUCACCAAGGCGACGAUCAGUAGCCGGUCUGAGAGGAUGAACGGCCACACUGGGACUGAGACACGGCCCAGACUCCUACGGGAGGCAGCAGUGGGGAAUCUUCCGCAAUGGACGAAAGUCUGACGGAGCAACGCCGCGUGAGUGAAGAAGGUUUUCGGAUCGUAAAACUCUGUUUUCAGGGACGAAUGUGCAAUAUGUGAAUAAUGUGUUGUUAUGACGGUACCUGACAAGAAAGCCACGGCUAACUACGUGCCAGCCGCCGCCGUAA